UAGACUUUGUGUAAAUGAAGUGCUGGACUUUACCUGAAAGCUGCAAAAAUUAAUGGUUUAGAUAUAUUUAUAAUAAACUGAUUUAAACAUUUAAACUUUUUCUAUAAGAAGAAAAAUUAAGACCACUUAUUUGAAAACACAGAUGAAGUUUCACCUUUCAAUCUGCUUUCUCAUUAGUUCCUUCCAAAGCAAGGUCUUAAAGCUGUGAUUGACAUUUUUCUCAUAAUGAAUCCUCUCAGGACAUUGUGUAGCCUGUGAGCAAGGCUGACAGGCAUAUAAGUGCACAGUCCCAACGGCAUGAAAGCAAGGAGUCAGAAUUCCCAUCCUCCUUGGCUCAAAGGAAACACAAAUGAAGCAGGUGUUCCAUUUUGAUGGCCAGGUCCUUCCAUCUUGUGGCUACCCAUCCCCUGGGCCUUGCUGUCAAUUGCAUCAAGAUAGAAGAAGGAACAGACAGUGGAGGAGGUAUGUCUGCUUCUUAAACUGUUUCAGCCCUGAAAGUAGCAUGCCUCAUUUCUGCUCACAUUUCAUUGGCAAGAGUUGGUCACAUGGCCACCUCAGGAUGCAAGGGAGGCUGGGAAAUACAGUUCCUGGCUGGAGAGCUGCUUCCUGGUCAUCACUGUAUCACAAGCCUUGGGAGCAGUGGGAUUUGUAGACAACAACCCUCUGUUGUGUAGCACACUUUGACAAGUUGACAACAGUAUGGCCAUAAAGAAUACAUUGAACUCAGUUAAUUCAGACUGGGAGAGAGGUCAAGAAAAGCUUUGGGGAGGGAGUGACGUUUGAGCUUUGUUUUAAGAAUCUAAGUAAACCAGGUGAAGAAGAAAGUGAUUUGGGGCAGAGAAAGCUUGUGAAACAUGAGGUAUAGAAGUAUAUGGCCUAUUCGGAGGACAAAAGUAGUGCAAUAUAUGUGGAUUGUAUUGUGGAGUCAGGAUAAGGAGGUGAGCCAAAAUGGGUGGCUAAAGAGGUUUUAGAUUCAUAGGAAAUGUUUGUAGGGUGUAGAAUCCACAAGGUUUGGCUGAGGGGUGAGGUCUGAGAGGUAGUAAGAGGCCACAUCACCUAAGGCCUUGUAACUGUGGGUGAAUUUUCAAUCUUACUGUAAAUAAGACAAAACUAAGGAGAGCUGGACUGUGAAGAAAGCUGAGUGCUGAAGAAUUGAUGCUUUUG
rnacentral:lncRNA from 1 species